rnacentral:rRNA from 1 species
UACGUAGGGUGCGAGCGUUUAAUCGGAAUUACUGGGCGUAAAGUGUGCGCAGGCGGCCGAGCAAGUCGAGUGUGAAAGCCCCGAGCUUAACUUGGGAACUGCGCUCGAAACUACUUGGCUAGAGUGUGGCAGAGGGAGGUGGAAUUCCACGUGUAGCGGUGAAAUGCGUAGAGAUGUGGAGGAACACCGAUGGCGAAGGCAGCCUCCUGGGCCAACACUGACGCUCAUGCACGAAAGCGUGGGGAGCAAACAGG